GAUGAACGCUGGCGGCGUGCCUAAUACAUGCAAGUCGAGCGAACAGACGAGGAGCUUGCUCCUCUGACGUUAGCGGCGGACGGGUGAGUAACACGUGGAUAACCUACCUAUAAGACUGGGAUAACUUCGGGAAACCGGAGCUAAUACCGGAUAAUAUAUUUAACCGCAUGGUUCAAUAGUGAAAGACGGUUUUGCUGUCACUUAUAGAUGGAUCCGCGCCGCAUUAGCUAGUUGGUAAGGUAACGGCUUACCAAGGCAACGAUGCGUAGCCGACCUGAGAGGGUGAUCGGCCACACGAGAACUGAGACACGGUCCAGACUCCGACGGGAGGCAGCAGUAGGGAAUCUUCCGCAAAGGGCGAAAGCUUGACGGAGCAACGCCGCGUGAGUGAUGAAGGUCUUCGGAUCGUAAAACUCUGUUAUUAGGGAAGAACAAAUGUGUAAGUAACUAUGCACGUCUUGACGGUACCUAAUCAGAAAGCCACGGCUAACUACGUG
rnacentral:rRNA from 1 species